ACGUGUCUGCAGCUACUGCAGCGCUGCUCCUCUGGGUAGGCCGUGCUCGGGGAUCGGCCCUCGGGCCUCGGCCUUGGAGCCUCCCGAACCCGGAGCUCCUCCCAGCGUCGAGUCGGCGAUCCUCCGUGACCACGCCCUUCGCCCUGACAGCUCAGCGUCCUGGCAGCUCCUGCACCAGGCUGGUGCCGUCCCGGGAGGAGGGGUCAGGCAGCCGCCCUCCUGCAGGUGGAGCGGGGUGGAGGCUCUUUCCUGAGCCCAGCGGCAGGACGCUGAGGACCAGCGAGUUUUUCUUUUUGCAGAUACGUAGAAUCAACUAUGGGGGUGAGAGGCUUACAGGGUUUUGUGGGAAGUACCUGCCCACACAUCUGUACAGUAGUCAAUAUCCAGGAGCUGGCAGAGCACCACCGAACCAAGUACCCAGGAUGCACUCCUACCAUUGUGGUGGAUGCUAUGUGCUGUCUCCGAUACUGGUACACGCCAGAAUCUUGGGUCUGCGGUGGCCAGUGGCGAGAAUACUUUUCUGCAUUGAGAGACUUUGUAGCCGCCUUCACGUCUGCAGGCAUCAAGUUGAUAUUCUUCUUUGACGGCAUGGUGGAGCCGGGUAAGAGAGACGAGUGGGUAAAACGAAGACUUAAGAACAACAGGGAGAUAUCCAAGAUUUUCCACUAUAUCAAGUCAAAGCGAGAUCAGCCAGGCAGAAGCAUGUUCUUCAUCCCCUCUGGGCUGGCCAUAUUUACACGAUUUGCUCUAAAAACUUUGGGUCAAGAAACUUUCUGUUCAUUACAGGAGGCAGACUUUGAGGUGGCCUCUUAUGGUCUCCAGCACAACUGUCUUGGGAUCCUUGGGGAAGACACCGAUUACUUAAUUUAUGACACUUGUCCCUACUUGUCAAUCGGUGAUCUCUGCCUGGAGACCCUUGAAACCAUUAUGCUCUGUCGAGAGAAGCUCUGUGAGACCCUAGGCCUCCAUGUGGCAGACCUUCCUCUACUAGCCUGUCUUCUUGGCAAUGACAUCACCCCAGAGGGCAUGUUUGAAAGCUUUCGGUACAAGUGCCUGUCCUCCUAUACCUCCGUGAAAGAGAAUGCUGGCAAAAAAGGAAAUAUUAUCUUAGCUGUCUCAGACUACAUCUCCAAAGUUCUUCACUUGCAUCAGGGUGAGAAAAAGAUAGAAGAGCUGUUACCCUUGGGACCACACAAAGCUCUUUUUUACAAAGGAGUGACCUCGUAUCUUUUGCCAGGGCAGAUAUCCCCUUGGUUAGUUCAGAAACCCAAAGUCAUAAUAACAGACAAGCAAGAGGCAAGUUUAAACCCUGAAUCUAAGCAAGAAGUUCCUAUGUGUAUAGAUCCUGAGUCCAAGCAAGAAGUCCCCGUGUGUACUGAUCCUGAGUCCAUGCAAGAAGUUCCCAUGUGCAUGGACCCUGAACCCAAGCAAGAAGUUCCCAUGUGCACGGACUCUGAACCCAAGCAAGAAGUUCCCAUGUGCACGGACCCUGAACCCAAGCAAGAAGUUCCCAUGUAUGCAUACCCAGAGGUCAGGCAAAACUUACCCUCAGAAGCAGAGGCUCAACCUAAUCUGGAAGCACUCGUGUGUAUGCACCCUGAAGUUAAACAGGAAGACACCAUGGAUAUAGAACCUGAAAUAAAGCAAGUAACCAUGGUCUCAGACUCCGAAAUCUUAAAGGUUGCCAGGAUGCACCACGUCCACUCUGAGAGCUACCUAGUGUACAACAUUAUGACCAGUGGAGAGAUCGAGUGCAGCAACACCCUGGAGGAUGAGCUGGACCAAGCUCUGCCCAGCCAGGCCUUCAUCUACCGCCCCAUCCGGCAGCGAGUGUACUCACUUCUGCUUGGGGACUGGAAAGAUGGAGCCAGCACCGACCCGGUGGUCAAGGAGUGGUUUGUGUACCCUGGGAACUCCCUGAAGUACCCAGACCUCGUUAGGCCUCUGAAGAUGACUGUUCAAGGGGGAAAGCCUAGUUUGGAAGUUUUGUGGCUGAGCCAAGAUCCGGCAGCACAGGCCCAGCGUGUGGACUCGUUGCUAGCCUGCUUCAAUCUCUCCUCCUCGAGAGAAGAGCUGCAGGCACUUGAGAGCCCACUGAGGGCACUGUGCUGUCUCCUAAUCUACCUCUUUGUCCAGGUGGACACGCUUUCCCUGGAAGACCUGCACGCAUUUAUUGCUCAGGCCUUGUGCCUCCAAGGAAAAUCAGCCUCACAGCUUAUGAACCUACAGCUGGAUUACAUUAGCUCCAGAGCCGUGCAGCUGGGGUCCCUCCUCGUCCGUGGCCUCACCAUGUUGGUACUGGUCAACAGCGCUUGUGGCUUCCCCUGGACAACAAGCGAAUUCAUGCCCUGGAAUGUCUUUGAUGGCAAGCUUUUCCAUCAGAAGUACCUGCAAUCUGAAAAAGGAUAUGCCGUGGAGGUUCUUUUGGAACAAAACAGAUCAUGGCUCACCAAGUUCCACAACGUAAAGGCGGUGGUCUGCAAGGCCUGCUCCAGGGAGAGCCGACGCAUUGUGGGCAGAACGCGUUGGCACUCUCACCACACAGGGAGGCUGGGGAGACAGGGCUCCAGCUCCCACAGGACAGGCUCCACAUAUGGCCAUCCUGGGCAAGGGCAGACAUGGAGAAAUCAGGGCCCAGGCAGCUACAUCCCCAAGCCUGUUUCCUACAGCUGUGUGAUGCUAUGACUCUGUGGUUCAUCAUUGGUGAGUGAGUGUAACUUCUUCAGUGAGAAGGGAAGGAGGUAAGGAGCCACCUGCAGAGGUGCCAUAGAGCCAGGCCCAUGCCUGUCUUGGGAAGCCUGGGCCUUCGUAACCCCACCAUUCUACAUGCCACUACUUCCUGGCAUUUCGUCUGCAUCCUGGGCCACACACAGCCCAGCAGUGAUAUCCCUUUUGGGAACUCUGGCACUCGAAACAGAUGUGGUGAACAAAAUCUGGGCAGCUGUGUGUAUCCUGAUUUUACUGUGCAUGCAUGCUCUUCAGGCACUGGAUGAUUCUGCAAUGAUGGGGACAAAGGUCUUACUCUUGUUGGGCUCAGUGAAUAAAGUUGGGCCCAGUGUGCAAAUCCAUAUGUACACCCAUAAUCACCAAUCUUAUGAUAUCUCCUUUCUAAUAUACAUAUGCUGAAAUUAUGUUUAUACACACAAAGAAAAGGCAAUAAGCAAUAAGCACUUCUUCUGACCCAGAAAAGGGCAAUGUGAAGUUGUCACCCCUGUUACAGAUCUGUAAGCCCUGGGGGCACACAAGGCCCUGGACAGUUAAUCCUGCCCAGUGAGUGAAUCUCCUUACCCAACUGAUUUGCUGCUCAUCCAGGCUGGACUAGGAGUUGGCAUCCAUCUUCCACCUAUGUGACCACAUUGAACUUGGCACAUUGGAAGUCUUCCCAGCCCCCAGUCUCCCCCCCCCCAGACAGGGUUUCUCUGUAUUGCUUUGGAGGCUGUCCUGUCCUGGAACUUGCUCAGUAGACCUGGUUGGCCUCGAACUCACAAAGAUCCACCUUUCUCUGCCUCCCGAGUGCUGGGAUUAAAGGUGUGAACCACCACCGCCCAGCUCACUUUGGGAGUCUUAAGUGGCAUGUGUAUUAUCUAGUUUUAAGACCAGAGACACCCAUUUACCACCCUGUUGUUAUGGUCAGUUGAAAACAGAAACAUGAUACUGGUCAUAUUAGUUAAAGUCUAAAAACUGUGUAGACAUUGUACCCUGGUUUGAGGCUUGGAACUUUGAAGGACAGCUCUUCUUUAUUGGGGUGGGUUAUUAUAAUCACAGUCUUGAUUGUGAAGGAUGGGCUGGAAAAGGUUCUAGGGACACCUGAGACCAAAAGGCCAAUUUGAGUGGCCUGGUGCUAGGCUGAUACCACGCUGAAUGGCCAGAGGUGACUCUGGAAGCAGCUAGGGGCAGUGUGUGAGCGAGGACAGUGCUUCUCUGGCACCUUGCCCAUGUGGAAGAAAGGCUCACAGGCCGCCAGCAGCUGCAGCAGCUGCGUUAGUGCUCUUCCGAAUUGUGUACAACAUCAGCUUUUACACAGUUGGUCCUUAGUUGGAAUUUUUGUUGUUUUAAAGAUCAGGCAAUCCACUUUUCCUGUGAAAUUACCAGGGUUGUAUUUGGGGCCAGCACAUUUUUGUAGUGAGUUUUUUCCUGUCUUAAGCAUUUUUGUAUCUCUUCAACAUAUAAAGUAGAAAGUUGUUGUAUUUCAAGAUUAGAAAAAAUAAACAAAAUUCUUCAUGCUAGAAAAGACUCGGAAUGCUUUAAGUUCAAAAUGGCAGUGUUCGGUUUUAGCACAUUUUCAGAGUCUGGACCUAAAUGCAUAAAUGUGGUCCUGUGGGAACUGAGUUCUCAGGGUCACUGCAGGGACUGCAGCCUGGCAGAUGGGGUUGGGGUACACCCCCAGAGGUAGUAUCAUCAAAGUCUAGGGCCCAUCCCAGCACCCUGUGACCAAAUGGCUACCAGAACUAAAGUUUUGGCCUCUCCCUUGCUACUAUUCAGCCCAGCUGGAGAGGGAAAACGUGUUAAAUUCCACUAAGGAGCUGUAAAGUUAGGUGAGAUUCUUCGCUUUGUCCCUUCUCAUGGUGACUGAGAGGGGCCUGCACACUAGGAGACUACAGGAGUGGAAACAGAGAUGACAAGGAUGGUGAAGGCUGUAUUAAUCUGGACACCUGUUGGUGCCAUCACCCUCACACUUUAGGGGUCAUUAGGCUGGGCCUGUUAAAGCCAUUGCUUUCAUGUACCAAAGAAAGCCAAGAGCAAGACUUGCAGAAAAGUGUGUUGUUGUUGCUGUUUUUGUUGUUGUUAAGAGUCUCACUAUGUGGCAUUAUCCUGCCUGGAACUCACAGAGAACCACCUGCCUCCGAGUCCUGAGUCCCACCAUGCCCAACCAAACAUGGCCGUUCUUAAGCUGUGGGAACUGCCAGUUUCCUUCAAGGCUAGCUCUGCUCCAAGUCCCUUCCCAACACCCCAUGUCUGUCAGAGGCAGGAAGUGGCCAGCUACACUGUGGGGUUGGGGGGCUUGUGUGCUCAGCCCUGGAAAAGCCACACGGGGCUUUUUCUGUGCUUGGCAGGAAGUCCUUUCAGAGCCAUCUGCAGAUGAAUUUCCAUUUCCAAAGUCAUUAGCAGCAAUAAACAUCUAGAUGUCCUGCAGAUGGUUAGAACUGGCACCAAGAGAAACAAUUUUGACAGUUUCCUUCUCCUAAUAGCACUGUCUCCUAAUUAAUUGCUUCCACUCUAAUGGAAUAAUUAUAGAAUGAAAUUUAAUGACAGGUGGUCACAACUGAAAAAUGUUCUGUCUUCCAGUACAAGUCAGCACUCUGUCUUUGUGUAUACUUAGAACUGCGCCACUUCCUUGAGUUAGUGCCUGAAGACAGCUCUUCUUACUUCUUACUUUGUUUUUUUGUUUUGUUUUGUUUUUUUAAUUUCUGUUCGGUGCAGGAGGCAGACAGUAUGAGCACGACCAGUGGAGAAGAUACUAGAUGUCUCUCAGGAAGUGUGGGAAGAGGGUGCAGCACCCUGCCCUCCUUCAGAGUGAUGUCACCCGGUCUCGCCAGUGAGGAGAUGGCAACUGGAACCACAUUUCCGUGAAGGAAGAAUUACUUUUCAGAGGUUUCUCCCCCGUGGACAGUAAAAAAGUGUCCAUUGGUUUGGUUUCAGAGGUUGCUCCUGAUGCCACGACCCCAAAACACUCAUCAGUAGCAUCACGUAUGCUCCCUGAUCUUAGCAGGACUCCAAUUCCUUCACACAUUUUCUUAUCUUUAAAUUGUGGAAAUGUUUCCCCAAGUCAUUACUCUUUGAAAUCAUGGAGCCUUAGUUAUUUCCGUUACUGUGAAAAGACACCAUAACUGAAGAAACUUAUAACACAAUACGUUUAAUUUGGGGCUCAAGGUUCCAGAGGGAAGAGCCCGUGACCAUCAUGGCAGGCAGGUUAACGACUUGCUAGAUGGGAAUGGCUCAGGAUUUUGAAAAUUCAAAACCCACUCCCAUUGACACACCUCCCCCAGUGUGGCCCCACCAAAUGUUUUCCACCAACCGAAGACCAAGCAUUCCAACAUAUUAAUGUGGGUCAUUCUCAUUCAGCCCAUCCGUCACGCGUGGUACCUGAUAGCCACACAUGCAAUGUCAGAAAUUACUUUUUCAUUAGAAAUUCUAACAAUUUGAUUGCCCAACCAUUUCUUUUCUUUUCUUGGUCCUCAGAAGUGUUUGGAUAGGAAAAGAAAAACAAUAAAGUCGUUCUUGCUUGUGGGAAAGUUGAUUCUGCUUGGAGGUGAAAUGGCUCAGCAGUUGAGAACAGCGGCCAUUCUUCCAGAGAACCCAGGUGUGAUUCCCAGCGCCCACGUGAUAGCUCACAGCUACCUGUGACUCCAGUUCCAGGGGGCCUAGCGGGUCUCCUGGCCUCAGUGGUCACCAGGCACAUGACGCACAGACAUGCAUGCAGGCCAAGCACCCUUAAAGAUGAAAUAAACAAGUAAAACAGACUGUUUUAAAGAAGCACGCUAGGUUAGGCCUAGGUGUAAGGUCCUCCCUCUUCAACCUUUGAAGUUAUUACCUGUCUCCACUGGGGAAUGAGAGUCACCGUGUGCAGGGUCCUCACAGCCAUGCCGUAUCUCUGGGGACACUUGGUUCCCUUAGGCAAUGCAAGCACUCCUGACCCCUGGGAGAUCUCUCUUACCAGUGCUGCUGUCUCUAAAUCUUUAGUAAGCCCCUAAAAACUCUCAUUUUCACCUUCACACCGACAAUCACCCAGCCCCAAGUGUGUUAAUGCAGAGCUCUUGGGUCUCACCUUGGAAUUCUUAGUUGUUACCAGAAAGGUAUAGAGUGCCCACAUUUGAGCAAUUUGCAUUUGUUCAGCUUCUUCUGCUCCUGAAGGACUUAUGCAUAGUGUGUCUGCAGGUCUUACAGCUGCUAUGACUUUAAUGCCUAGAUUUGGAAAUGGCUUUUCCGGUCCCCCAGUAUUUCCCUCUGAUACUCCUUCCUGCUCGUCUAGUUUUUGCCACUUUGAAACAUUGCUGCCUCUAGUUGUUUCUUUGCUGUUUACUUGUGUAACUUUGAAGAAAGUUUCUGAUCUCUUAGACUGAAACUAUAUUUCUAUGAAGGCUCUUUUCCCUCACAGACUCAGUAUUCUGACUUGUCAAUAAAAUGUGUCAUUCACAAGCUUAAA